rnacentral:rRNA from 1 species
UACAGAGGUCUCGAGCGUUGUUCGGAUUCAUUGGGCGUAAAGGGUGCGUAGGUGGCGCCGUAAGUCGGGUGUGAAAUUUCGGAGCUUAACUCCGAAACUGCAUUCGAUACUGCGGUGCUUGAGGACUGGAGAGGAGACUGGAAUUCAUGGUGUAGCAGUGAAAUGCGUAGAGAUCAUGAGGAAGACCAGUGGCGAAGGCGGGUCUCUGGACAGUUCCUGACACUGAGGCACGAAGGCCAGGGGAGCAAACGGGG